rnacentral:lncRNA from 1 species
CUCGCCCAGGCAAAAAGAGAAAGUAAAAGCAACCGGUUGCUGCCAAGGGGUGUGGUGUGGUGGGGCUGGCACUACCCUGAACAUCAAUGAAGGCUGUCUGUUUCUGGUCCUGCUUCCGCAGUGAGAGGCAGCAGGUCCCCAAGCAGGCGACCUGCCCUUCACCGUGAGGCUGUCAGCCUUGGGGGAGCGGGGUCAUUUGGAGCUGAUAAACCAAUGAGAAGAAAGGGUCUGGCCUUUCAGUUCCAUAGAUAUAGUGAGCACCUGCCAUCACAGGAUCUGGGCACGCCAUGGAACAGAAGGACAAAAAGACAACAUCUCUGCCCUCCCCUGAAUACUGGGGAGACUGAGGCACUGUGAUGGAUAAUAUUGUCAGCUCGAUUGAUAUGAACGAAUGCAAAGUAUUGUUCCUGGGUGUGUCUGUGAGGGUGUUGCCAAGGAGAUUAACAGUGGACUGGGAGAGGCGGACCAGCCCUCAGUCUGGGUGGGCACCAUCUCAUCAGCUGCCAGCAUGGCUAGAAUAAAAGCAGGCAGAAGUUGGAAGGACUUGACUGGCUGAGUCUCCUGGCCUUCACCUUUCUCCCGUGCUAGAUGCUUCCUACCCUCGAACAUCGGACUCCAGGUUCUUCAGCUUUUGGACUCUUAGACCUAUAAAAGUGGUUUGUCAGGGGAUCUCUGGCCUUCGGCCACAGACUGAAGGCUGCACUGUUGGCUUCCCUACUUCUGAGGUUUUGGAACUCGGACUGGCUUCUUUGUUCCUCAGCUUGCAGACAGCCUAUUGUGGGACUUCACCUUGUGAUCAUAUGAGUCAAUACUCCUUAAUAAACUCCCUUUCAUAUAUACAUGUAUCCUAUUAGUCCUGUCCCUCUAGAGAACCCUAAUACAGGCACACUCAGUGACACAGGGCAGAAUGAAUGGGGAAACUCUGACAAAUGUUGAGGGAAGGCAACAUCUUAGCUGGGUCUUAAAGAAUGGGUAGGAAUUUGAGCAGGCACAGCUGGUGGGAGAAAACCAGUGACAGGGCAGAGGCCAGAAAAU